CUGAGGUGAAGUCGGAUGUGUAACCGGCUGAGGCCACCCAGGCGCCCUCCCAGAGUGAGACUCUGGAUUGCCCGACUCUACCAGGGAUCUUCUUCCAAGGUUGUCACAGAAUUGUGACGCGAGCCUCAUCACAGCUGCCAUAACACAUCACAAGACAUGCACAUGGCAGGCACUCAGAGUUGAAGCUGCAAAUGAAAACCGGAAGCAAGCUGGGCUUUCCACUGCAGAGAGAAAUGUCUCCACAUGCUUGGGAAAAUGACUUCUGCCGCACUGGAAUAUGUCUAUAAAGGGAAGUUUUCCCUCAUCAACUAUUUGGUUUACCUGGUCACUUUCAUGGAGGAAAGCUUUGACCACCGGGAGGGCUUUUGGCUGACACCUAUGCCCCUGUGACAUAUUCCCGCCCCACAGAGCUCUCUAGUCCUUUCUGAAGAUCUGAUGAGAAGUCUGCUACUCAGAAGAAAGCCCUCAGUCGACCACGCUGGCACUGUGACCUUGGACUUCCAGUCUCCAGAACCGUGAGAAAUAAAUUUCUGUUGUUUAUAAGCCUCCCACUCUUCAGUAUUUUGUUAUAGCAGCCCAAAUGAACUGAGAUACCACCCAUUUAUGCGAUCAGAAUUUUCUCAGAACUGGAUGACCAAAGCCAAAUAGAAAAAUAAGUUGGAUGCCGAGACUGACUGUGAAUCAGCCAGGGCUUUGAUUUAGGAGCACAACAGGAACUGGCUCUGGAUGAGUAAAGCUGAAGAGGAAUUUAUGGAAAGGAUGUUGGGUAGCCCGUGGAAUCUCUGGGAAGGCCUGAGAGCCAGGCACAGGGCAUGAAUGAGAACAAAGGAUGCUGGGAAGUAGCUAAGAGCAUGGCCAAAAUUGUGGCACAGAAGUUAUCCAGAGCCCUGCCCUGGCCUCAGAACCCUGGAAGGCUUGUGCCACAACCAGGACUGGGGCCUGAAAGAUAACCAGGCUGCUGCCACUACCCUGGAAUCUGGACAUGGCUGCCACAGCUGCUGCCGUCCCCACUGGAGAAGCUUCUCUAAGGGGUUCUCUCUGUGAUCUCUGAUUCAGGAUCCAGGUGGUGCUCCUGAUUGGCCAAGCCCAGGUCACAUGUCUGAGUCCUGCCAAUGAAAGAGGCUGGGAAGCAAGUGUCAUGAUUUCAGUCUCUAUAGUGAGAGGUGAGCAGUAGACUUUAACUUCCACUAAGACUCAUAAGAUGGUGUCUCCCAUGCACCUGGGAAGGGAUUCUGAAGCUGGACAGCCAAGAAGUGACAAAUGCCAUCGAUCAACUCUGCUUUCAGAUUUCGUGCCAUCAUAGUAACAGCCUCA